GGAGGGGCCAGGAUGCCCCUGGAAUCAGCUGGUGCCGUGGAGGGGCCAGGAUGCCCCAGGAAUCAGCUGGUGCCGUGGAGGGGCCAGGAUGCCCCUGGAAUCAGCUGAUGGGAGGGGCCAGGAUGCCUCGGGAAUCAGCUGAUGCCGUGGAAGGGCCAGGACGUCCCGGGAAUCAGCUGGUGCCGUGGAAGGGCCAGGACGCCCCGGGUAUCAGCUGGUGCCUUGGAGGGGCAGGACGCCCCGGGUAUCAGCUGGUGCCGUGGAAGGGCCAGGAUGCCCCGGGUAUCAGCUGGUGCCGUGGAGGGGCAGGAAGUCCUGGAUAUCAGCUAGUAUCAACUGAGCACCCCGCCUGCGGCAGGCCUCGAGAUCAGCCGGUUCCAUGUGCUCCCUGAGGAAUUGGGCUACUCCCCCGUGCCUCAGUGUCCCUCUCUGGAAACUGGCGAUGGUGGCCCUCCAGGGCCCUCCCACUGGGCUAACCUGUGAUGCACAAACCAGCCAGGUCCCUCCUGGGAGCUCGCAGAGAGUCCUGCUCCUGGGAUUGUUUUAUUGUUACGCCGUCCCCUCCCUUUCCUGAGGCUCCCAGGGUAAGUCUUCAAGCUGCACAGGUACCCAGUGGCCUCCUCAGCAUUGGAGCUCAGAUUGCAGGCCCCCCACUUUUUUUUAAACCACCUCCUUGUAGGUCCUCCAAGCUUGUUAUCCUGGAGGCCACUGUGGGGCAGCCUUGGAUUCAGGCCUGGCUCUGGGAAGCCCGGGGUCCCUGCUGGGGCCCCCGCCUGGGGGGAUGGAGGGCCAAAGCCUCCCAGCAUGAGGCGCCAUGACUCAGGGCUGAGAGGGGCUGGUCAAUACCACCUGGGCCCCUCCUCCAGCUUGAGCCCGAAUCUACAGCAUCCUGGUCUCCGAUCCUGGAGGGCUGCAGCGAGGCUGCUGCAGAGGGAAGCAGAAGGUUCUGUUGACCAGGAGAGGCUCCUGUUUACUUACCAAUGGUGCAGAGCUAAGCAGCCAGAAGGCCCCAGCCUCCCUGCCCCUGCCCCACCCAGGGUGGGGUCUGCGUCCGUCCACAGGGCAGGUGUUAGGACGCAUCCCAGGUACUUUUCAGGCCUAUGUUUCCCCAGCCCAAUGUGAUAGGGUGUGGGGAUGGGGUGGGGCUUCUGGCCAAGCCAGGCUGUGGUAGGGUCAGAGCUCUGGGAUGCACUUUGAGGGGCUGAGACCCCUUCCUGACCUGCAGAAGCGUCUGAGGAAGAGGGUGACUGACGCCUGCCUCGCACACAUGGUGGGGCUGCUGUAGGCACUUUGCACAUAGUGAUCUGUUGAGCCCUCCCUCGAGUGCUGUGGUUCUCUGGGCUGCCGAAAAGACAGAGAUCUGGAUGCUUGUCCGGCGUCACACGGGGAAGGGUUGGCACCGGGAUUCAAGCCCUGAUUGACCAGCUCUGGAUUCGUGUCCUUAGCACAGAAACAGGCAUAGUGUAAACUCAGUGCCUCAUCCCCCAACCCAGCUGGGAGGUGAGGGUCUGCCCCCACCUGGGCUAGGCAGGGGUGCCGGAGAGCGAACCCCCAAUACCUGGGGCUGGUCUGAUGUCAGGAGACCCGUCACUGCCCCUUCCUCAGACCCAAGCUGUCCCCUUCCCUCCCUGGGCCCCGCUGUCCUUGUCUGCAAAUGGAGGAGGGUGGCUCUGUGGCCCCUGAGGCCCCCUCGCCUCAGGCCUGCUGAAAGAGCACUGUUUCAGGGCCAUUGUGGCGUUGCUAUUCACCCAUUUGUUUGGCAAAUGUUUACUGGAGAUAUGGCUGGCCUGUGCCUUGGGGACACUACAGGGACAGGACCUCCAGGACCCUCCUCCUGGCUCGGCCCAGCAGAGAUGGUGGACAGACCCCCAGGAUCCGGGCCCAGCAGGGGCGGUGGACAGACCCCCAGGACCCUCCUCCCGGCUCGGGCCCAGCAGAGACGGUGGACAGACCCCCAGGAUCCGGGCCCAGCAGGGGCGGUGGACAGACCCCCAGGACCCUCUUCCCGGCUCGGGCCCAGCAGGGGUGGUGGACAGCAGCUCAAGGGUGUUCAUGGUGGCCGGAGCUGGGGUUCGGGGGCCCUGCUAGGCUGUGGUGGGGCCCACCCAGGCUUCCUGGAAGUGGUGGCGGUGAAGGGGAAAAUUCCUCGGUGUCUGCCUCCUUGUCAGACUUCGGGGCUGCGUCGUGGUUGCCCCAGCACCAAGUGAGGGCUCAUCAACGUUUGCUGGGUGAGCAAAGCUUAGGUGGAGUCACAGCGCCUCCCGGUUUCACUUUCCCCUCCGGACGGCAGGACUCUAACCCCUCACUGCGAGGGUACGUGGAGAGUGGGGAGGCCUCAGCCCAGCUCCCUUGCCCUCCGGGACCCCUCUUCUACUGCUGUGGCAGCAGCCGCUCCUCCCACCUUGGGCCACGUCCAGACUUGGGGACAUUCCCAGAAUGCAGGAGGCUCCUGGACAAUCAAUAAUUCAAUAAAGCGCCAGGCGUCCGCCGGCUCCGGGUUGGUCCUGGUGAUAUGUUA